GACGAACGCUGGCGGCGUGCCUAAUACAUGCAAGUCGAACGAGAGCGACCGGUGCUUGCACUGGUCAAUCUAGUGGCGAACGGGUGAGUAACACGUGGGUAACCUGCCCAUCAGAGGGGGAUAACAUUCGGAAACGGAUGCUAAAACCGCAUAGGUCUUCGAACCGCAUGGUUUGAAGAGGAAAAGAGGCGCAAGCUUCUGCUGAUGGAUGGACCCGCGGUGCAUUAGCUAGUUGGUGAGGUAACGGCUCACCAAGGCCGUGAUGCAUAGCCGACCUGAGAGGGUGAUCGGCCACAUUGGGACUGAGACACGGCCCAAACUCCGACGGGAGGCAGCAGUAGGGAAUCUUCCGCAAUGGACGCAAGUCUGACGGAGCAACGCCGCGUGAGUGAAGAAGGUGUUCGGAUCGUAAAACUCUGUUGUUAGAGAAGAAUAAGUGCUAGAGUAACUGUUAGCGCCUUGACGGUAUCUAACCAGAAAGCCACGGCUAACUACGUG
rnacentral:rRNA from 1 species